rnacentral:rRNA from 1 species
ACGCUCGACACCUACUGGAGGCAGCAGUGGGGAAUAUUGCGCAAUGGGGGCAACCCUGACGCAGCAACGCCGCGUGAUUGAAGAAGGCCUUCGGUUGUAAGAUCUUUAAUCAGGGACGAAAAAUAGACGGUACCUGAAGAAUAAGCUCCGGCUAACUACGUGCCAGCAGCCGCGGUAAUCUGAGCGGGCUGGCAAGGC